rnacentral:rRNA from 1 species
UACCAGCACCCCGAGUGGUCGGGACGAUUAUUGGGCCUAAAGCAUCCGUAGCCGGUCAUGCAAGUCCUCCGUUAAAUCCACCUGCUUAACAGAUGGGCUGCGGAGGAUACGACAAGGCUAGGAGGCGGAAGAGGCAAGCGGUACUCAGUGGGUAGGGGUAAAAUCCUCUGAUCCAUUGAAGACCACCAGUGGCGAAGGCGGCUUGCCAAUACGCGCUCGACGGUGAGGGAUGAAAGCUGGGGGAGCAAACCGG